rnacentral:rRNA from 1 species
AAGCGUGCGCAGGCGGUUAUGUAAGACAGAUGUGAAAUCCCCGGGCUCAACCUGGGAACUGCAUUUGUGACUGCAUGGCUAGAGUACGGUAGAGGGGGAUGGAAUUCCGCGUGUAGCAGUGAAAUGCGUAGAUAUGCGGAGGAACACCGAUGGCGAAGGCAAUCCCCUGGACCUGUACUGACGCUCAUGCACGAAAGCGUGGGGAGCAAACAGGAUUAGAUACCCCUUGU